rnacentral:misc_RNA from 1 species
GAACUGCGAUAAGCAAUGCGAAUUGCAGAAUUCCGCGAGACAUUAGAUCUUUGAACGCACUCUGCGCUGGAGAGAAACUCUCCCCAGCAUGUUUGUCUCAGUGUAAUUGAUUUUAUAUAACUAAAUGUGAUUUUAUGUCUUUAUUGAUAUAAUCUCAUUAAAUCAAUAUUGUGAAUUAAUAUUCAAUUCUAAUGAAGUGGUCGCUUUUCUCAUAAAAAAAGAAAAUGCGAUUUCAUUAGAUCAAUAUAUUGAUAUUAAUUUAUAUACACAUAGUGUAAAUUAUAUUAAAACAAAUUAAAUCAUUAUUUACCUGAGAUCAAAUAAGGCUACCCGCUGGAGUUAA